UGGGGAAUCUUCCGCAAUGGGCGAAAGCCUGACGGAGCAAUGCCGCGUGAGUGAAGAAGGGAUUCGUUCCGUAAAGCUCUUUUGUUUAUGACGAAUGUGCAUGUUGUGAAUAAUGACGUGUAAUGACGGUAGUAAACGAAUAAGCCACGGCUAACUACGUGCCAGCAGCCGCGGUAAUACGUAGGUGGCGAGCGUUGUCCGGAAUUAUUGGGCGUAAAGAGCAUGUAGGCGGUUUUUUAAGUCCGGAGUGAAAAUGCGGGGCUCAACCCCGUAUGGCUCUGGAUACUGGAAGACUUGAGUGCAGGAGAGGAAAGGGGAAUUCCCAGUGUAGCGGUGAAAUGCGUAGAUAUUGGGAGGAACACCAGUGGCGAAGGCGCCUUUCUGGACUGUGUCUGACGCUGAGAUGCGAAAGCCAGGGUAGCGAACGGG
rnacentral:rRNA from 1 species